UACGUAGGAUGCAAGCGUUGUCCGGAAUUAUUGGGCGUAAAGAGCGCGCAGGCGGUAUGACAAGUCAGAUGUGAAAGAGGCCGGCUUAACCGGCAAGGGUCAUUUGAAACUGUCAGACUAGAGUGCAGCAGAGGAUAGUGGAAUUCCCGGUGUAGAGGUGAAAUUCGUAGAUAUUGGGAAGAACACCGGUGGCGAAGGCGGCGACCUGGUCCUUGACUGACGCUGAGGCGCGAAAGCGUGGGGAGCAAACAGG
rnacentral:rRNA from 1 species